GACGAACGCUGGCGGCGUCCUUAACCCAUGAAAGUCGAACGGUCAGGCUCUUCGGGGUCCACGAGUGGCGAACGGGUGAGUAACACGUGGGUGAUCUGCCCUGCACUUCGGGAUAAGCCUGGGAAACUGGGUCUAAUACCGGAUAGGCCCAUGCGCUUCACGGUGUGUGGUGGAAAGCUUUUGCGGUGUGGGGUGGGCCCGCGGCCUAUCAGCUUGGUGGUGGGGUAAGGGCCUACCAAGUCGACGACGGGUAGCCGGCCUGAGAGAGUGUCCGGCAACACGGGUACUAAGAUACGGCCCUGACUCCAACUGGGGUCAGCUGUUGAGGAUAUUGCACAAUGGGCGCCAGCCGUAUGCAGCGACGCCGCGUGAGGGAUGACGGCCGUCGGUUUGUAAACCUCCUUCAGUAGGGACGAAGGGCAAGUGACGGUGCCUACAGAAGAAGGACCGGCCAACUACGUGCCAGCAGCCGCGGUAA
rnacentral:rRNA from 1 species